UGGCAACGUGCUCCGACUUCGCCUUGGC
rnacentral:sRNA from 1 species